rnacentral:lncRNA from 1 species
CAAAGGGCUGCAUUACACUAAAAAGUCAAAUCAUUUCCUCAGCCCCUUUUGAAAUCAAGAAUGGAGAUAACAUGUGCACUUGUCUGUGAGAUCUUACUAGCAAUCUUGCUUCCUCCUCUUGGUGUUUGCCUUCGCAAUGGUUGCUGCACUGUAAGAUCCCCUUUUACCUAAAUUUGUUUUGUAUAUAUAAAAAAGAUCUCAUUUUUAAUUAUUACUUGUAGUUUCUUUGAUUUGGGUGAUUAUUUUUGUGGAUGAGCAGAAAAGGGUGUUUGAGUAUAGGGUUAAUUGUUUUAGGGGAUUUAGUGAUGUGGGGUAUUUUUACUUGGUCUUGAAAUUGCAAAAAGAUUCAAUUUUUAUGAUUUUUUUGGUUGAAAUUUUGAAUUGGGUGAUUGUUUUUGAGGAUGAACUAAAAAGGGUGUUUGAGAAUAAGGUUGAUUGUUUUAGGGGAUUUUAGUGAUGUGAAAAGUUUUUCCUUCUUGAAAUUGCACAAAAGAUUCAAUUUUUAUUGUUAAAACUUUGAUUGGUUUUUGAGAUGAACUGAAAAAGGGUGUUUAGGACGUGGAUCACUUCUUUUAUGGGAUCUAGUGAUGAUUUCUAGCUAAAGUUUUGAAAAAAGAUUCAAUUUUUUUGUAUAAACUUUGAUUUGGGUGAUUGUUAGGGUGUUUGAGAAUUGAGUCAAUUGUUUUAGGGGAUUUAGUGAUUUCUUUUCUGAAUCUUUUUCCAGGUGGAGUUCUUGAUUUGCUUGGUAUUGACCAUAUUGGGCUAUGUUCCUGGAAUUAUCUAUGCUCUCUAUGCAAUCCUCUUUGUUGAACGUGAACCAAGAAGGGAUUAUUAUGACACUCUUGCUUGAUCUUUGUUGAAUAUAUCAUUUCAGAUUGUGUGCUUGUUGUUUUGUUUUGCUUG